CAAAUUUAGUUCUAAAAUAAAAUCUCAAGAAAAACAAACAUAUUUUUAUAAAAUUUUAAAAUUAUUAUUUCAAAAAUAAUUUACAUGUAAAUAGAAAUACAUUUAGUGGAAACGUACAUAUAUCAAUAAUUGUCAAGAGAAUUAUGAAAAUGUGUGGAAAAAUUUUCUCCUUCAUUUGUAAUUAUUUGUAAUUAUGAGAAAUCGCAACUAAAUACUUUUAUGUGAAACAUCCAAGUAGUAGCUGUUGAUUGACACAAGCUGAUACCGAAAUAAGUAUUUGACGCUGUCGGUAUGCUACCAAUAAAGUCGCUUAUUUUUUCAUUGGACCAUGAAUGGAAGAACUUAACAUAUUGUAAUUUUUUGUCAUCAUUUAGGUGAAAUCAAACAGUUGAUUAAUGUUGUAAUAUUAAUGAUGUUCAAUUGCGUGGUGCACCUAUUUCCCUACUUAUUGUUAGCUGUGCUGCCUAUCAAACACAGUAUACCAGAAGUCGAUUUAAGAGAGAUUCAAAUCGAG